GGGGGUAUAGCUCAUUUGGUAGAGCAUCUGCUUUGCACGCAGAAGGCGAGCGGUUCAAAUCCGCUUACCUCCA
rfam:Ehrlichia muris AS145, complete genome.